rnacentral:rRNA from 1 species
UUCGUAGGUGGCCAACUAAGUCAGACGUGAAAUCCCUCAGCUUAACUGGGGAACUGCGUCUGAUACUGAUUGGCUUGAGUGCAGGAGAGGAACGCGGAAUUCCAGGUGUAGCGGUGAAAUGCGUAGAUAUCUGGAGGAACACCGGUGGCGAAGGCGGCGUUCUGGACUGCAACUGACACUGAGGAACGAAAGCCAGGGAGCAAACG